rnacentral:rRNA from 1 species
UUUGUAUAUCGUCGUAAGUUGAAUAUUUUAAUAUUUAAUAUUUUCAGAUCAAGGUGUAGUUGAUAUUUAAGUUAAAAUGGGUUACAUUUAAAAUUAUAAUUAAAUUGGAUUUGAUAGUAAGCUCUAAAAUAUGCACAUAUCGCCCGUCGCUUUCAUUAUAAAAUGAAAUAAGUCGUAACAAAGUAGGUUUAUUGGAAAAUGAACCUAGAAUGCAAAUUAGAGCUUGAUAAGUAUUUUAUUUACAUUAAAAAGUUAAUUGUGAAAUUCAAUUUAAUUUGAUUAUAAGAUUUUAUUAAAAAUUUUAUUUAUUAAUUAUUAAAAAUUUAUAUUUUUUAUUAGUUUUAUGAAAAAAUUUAAUUAUAGUUUAUAGUAUUGUAAAAGAAAAUUUUUAUAAUUUAAUAAGGAAUUUUGAUUUAUUGUACCUUGUGUAUCAGGGUUUAUUAAUUUAAUAUUCUCGAAUUUUAAAGAGUUAAUAUUAUUGUAUUAAAAAUAUUUAAAAUAAUUUAUUAGUAAUGAAACGUUAUUCGUUUUUUUAUAUAUCUAGUUUUUUAAGAAAUAAAUUUAAUUUAUUGAUUUUAUAAAUAUAUUAAUAAGGGAUAAGCUUUAAAAUAAAGUUUUAUAAAUUAAUUAAAUUAUAAAAAUAAUAGGAUUAGAAUUUUUUAUUUAUAAUAAAAUGUUAUAAUUAAUUAUUUUAAAUUUUUUAUUAAAAAAUAAAUUUUAAUAUUAUAGAUUAAGUUAUAAUGAUAAAAUUAGUAAGGUUAUUUUAAGGAAUUAGGCAAAUUUAUUUUUCACCUGUUUAAUAAAAACAUGGCUUUUUGUUUAUAUUUUAAAGUUAGGCCUGCCCAAUGAUUUAAUGGCUGCAGUAUUUUGACUGUACAAAGGUAGCAUAAUCAUUAGUUUUUUAAUUGAAAGCUGGAAUGAAAGGUUUGAUGAGAAAAUUACUGUCUCUAGAAUUUUAUUUUUAAGUAAAAAAGCUUAAAUUUUUUAAAAAGACGAGAAGACCCUAUAGAAUUU